GAUUAUCCUCGCACCUGCACGAUCGUGAGGAGCAAGACAGCGGUGUGAACGAGAAAGAGGGAGAGUUGCAGUCUGGUGAACCUGCUGGAAAAGACAAUCAAACAAGAUAAGGGGAUCACGAGUUGCAAACGGGGAGUCCAGGAUGGAGAAGGCAGAGUCCUCCAACGAGGACGAUAGCAAUACCGAGCUGGAGGACCGGGACCCUAACAGCUUGAACAAACACCUUCAGGUGAUGUGGGAUGAUGUGAUCGGGGAACCGGAAGGAAUACGCAGUCCGGAGUGCGCGUGGCGUCUAAGCGGUCACUGCUUCCGGUUGUCCAGAAGCUGCUGUUACGUGUUUCUCUCGGUCCUCAUAUCUCCUUUACUCGCCCUUUGCUUCGGUUUUACGUUUGCCUGCCUCGCGUUUCAGGUGAGUCGUCGACCUUUUUCUCUAUUUUCUGAUCGAUCAGUGCUACCCACCGUUCUUAGCCUCCCUACACGAUACAACCAUUAUACGAACAUUAUCGCGAUGCUUACGAUUAUUUUUGUUUCUCAGCCUAUUGGAAAUGUAGGUCGUCGCUUUACUAUCGACUUCCAGUGGAAGAAUUUCUUUCUUUCUAUAUUAUUUUGUAUAAACAUUUCUUAGAAGUUUCGUUCUUUUUUUUUCAAGCACACGUUUAUACGAUACUUAAUAUAUCAAUACAUUAAUGUACGGAGCAUGAAAACUAUUAUUUUUUAAUCACGAUAAAUGUACAAGGCAAUCGAAAAUUUCUUUCCACAAUUCGGUUUUUAAUUUGUCAGUUGAUGAGUAGAGAUAUUGGAAUGUGUAAAGGGUAAAUAAGAUUUUAAUGGUGUUUUUAACGAUGUUUUGGAUGUACAUAUCUUAUGUUUUGUAAGUAUUCUAAUGCUUAUGAACGGGAAUAUAUAUUUUGAUAAUUUGUAUUAUUGCCCGCUUGUCACUAACAAUUUGCCACUAAAUUAUAAAAAUAAUAUUUAGUUGCAAGAAAAGAGAUUAAUAGAAGGAAAUUUUCAGCAUAUAUGGUGUCUGGCGCCAUGCCUCCGCGUUUGGAAGAUCAGCUGCGCGGCGACGAGGAAUUUUCUCAGUGCUGUGACACACGCCAUCGUGAAACCAAUUAUGGAAUCCCUAGGCUAUCUGUUUCACAAUAUUCGUGUGU